CACACACACACACAAUUAACCUGUACUCAACUCCGUGACAUGACAGAGUCUCCCUUCCUCUCCUGCUACCUGCCCUCUGGACUCAAAGAUCUCCUCCAAGAAACACAGAACAUUUGCUCACCUGUCUGUCCACCCUACAACACCAAUUGCUCAUCUGAAGCGCUGCACCCCGAGGGAUUUCACAGUACUGAAAACCUCAGAGUUACACCUCCUGCCAAACUCAGCCUCUGUGGGAAACUUGCCACCUCCUGACGAGCCUCCGUCCUUCCCCAACAUGCCAAACCAGACCUAUCCAGGAAUGAGGUGCCGUUUGUUACAGUUAAAAAUUGGCAGCAAUAUUUUCAGUCAUUUAGUCAAUCAUGAGAAAAAUUAAAUGGGGGUUCAUUUGUUGAAGUCAUAUUUUCAGUUAAAACCUUAAUAUUUAGUUUGUUGCUGUAUGUAAGACCAGCAGUUACAACCACCACCACUGGAACAUUGAGCCGCUCUGUAAGCAUUUUCUAUUGUUUUUUCAUUUUUACAGUUAUUUUUUAAAAUAUGUUUAAAGCCAGAAGCAGACUCAAAAUCUGUUUACUUUUGUUAAGUCCACAUCUCUGUUUUGAUUAGCAGCCUACUGUGACUUUCAGAGGUAUUCUUUUGACCCACAUGCAGAACCACACAAACUGGAGAUGAAGAAACACUUAAAAGAUUUAUUUUGACACCAAGAAGGAGAGAUAAUUCUGGAUUCAGGUACUCUGGGUUUGAGGGUUCUGGAAAGGACAGCAACAGUUAGUGGGAGUUUUCUGAGAAUGGUUGAUCGGAAGGAGGAUUAAUAGGUAGAGAAGCCUUACUGUUCUGAGCGCGAUGGAAUGCUAUGAGGCAGGGUUGGGAUUCCAGUGGUGAGUCUUGUAGAAGCUGGUGACUCCACGCGACUGUUGGAGAGUGGGCAGGCAGAGGCUGAAGGUUCAGUAGAAAGGUUUUCCAGAAACGAGCGGAUAAUAAGUGAUGUUGCGUGGAGAAAUCCGGGGACAAAGUGGCUUCAUAAAUCUGGGGACAGGAGACAACGAAGGAGGACUUCUUCCUGGAAGAAUUCAAAAGACAGGUUAGAAACUACUUAGAGGUCUAAUUGAGAACUUGAAUUUACCAACAACGUGGACCAUCAGGUGAAGAAUGCUCGUUCAGCAGCUCCUUCAGAACACCGUGGGAGAUGAUGACUUGCGCCCACCAGCAGAGCUCCUCAGGAGAGACUGGGAAAAACCAGCCACGCAAACAAUUGUGACAUCCUGUCUGCAUUAUUAACGAAAGUAAAAAAAUAAAAUAAAUAAAUGCUUGUGUUGUUUAGCACAGCAGGGGGCGCUAAUUGAAUAAUGCGAGACGAUAGGAACCUAGAGGAGUGAAACAAUGUAGAAAUACAUACAGAUGUUUUUUUUUUUCUUUUAAGUAAAGAAGAACCCUAGCCAGAGAAACCAUUUAUUUGAUUUAAAAAUGGAAAUGAAACAAAUUUCAAUCUUUUUCUUUUAU